AUGGCAUGGAUUAUUAUGCAAACAAGGCCACACAACCCUCUCAGGUCACUAUAUCAGAUUCGCAGCAGUUGGAAUGUCCCGAGGAGAAUUGUCGCUCACCUAGACCAAACUUACCUGCUCCUGUGGAAUCAUGCAUGCCUAAUGAUACUGAAGAGGACAAUGGAAGCACUAAUUGGUUUUGCACCGGUGAUCCAUUAG
rnacentral:rRNA from 1 species